rnacentral:rRNA from 1 species
CAUGGUUGAUCAUGCUAGUAUUCAUAUGCUUGUCUCAAACAUUAAGCCAUGAAUGUGUAAGUAUGAACUAAUUCAGACUGUGAAACUGCGAAUGACUCAUUAAAUCAGUUAUAGUUUGUUUGAUGGCAUCUACUACUUUGAUAACCGUAGUAAUUCUAGAGCUAAUACGUGCAACAAACCCCGACUUCUGGAAGAGAUGCAUUUAUUAGAUAAAAUAUCGACGUAGGCUCUUCUUGUUGCUUUGAUGAUUCAUGAUAACUCGUCGGAUUGCACGACCCUUGUGCUGGCGACGCAUCAUUCAAAUUUAUGCCCUAUCAACUUUUGAUGGUAGGAUAGUGGCCUACCAUGGUGGUGAUGGGUGACAAAGAAUUAAGGUUCAAUUCCGGAGAGGGAGUUUGAGAAAUGGCUACAACAUCCAAGGAAUGCAACAGGUGCACAAAUUACCCAAUCCUAACACGGGGAGGUAGUGACAAUAAAUAACAAUAUCGGGUUCAUUGAGUCUGGUAAUUGGAAUGAGUACAAUCUAAAUCCCUUACCGAGGAUCCAUUGGAGGGAAAGUCUGGUGCCAACAGUCGCGGUAAUUCCAGCUCCAAUAGCUUAUAUUUAAGUUGUUACAGUUAAAAAGCUUGUAGUUGGACCUUGGGUUUGGUCGACCGGUCUGCCUCUGGUGUGCACCGGUUGGCUCCUCCCUUCUGCCGGCGGUGCGCUCUUGGCCUUAAUUGGUCGGGUCGUGCCUCCUGCGCUAUUACUUUGAAGGAAUUAGAGUGCUCAAAGUAAGCCUAUGCUCUGGAUACAUUAGCAUGGGAUAACACCACAUGAUUUUGAUCCUAUUGUGUUGGCCUUCGGGAUCGGAGUAAUGAUUAACAGGGAUAGUCGGGGGCAUUCGUAUUUCAUAGUCAGAGGUGAAAUUCUUGGAUUUAUGAAAGACGGACAACUGCAAAUCAUUUGCCAAUAAUGUUUUCAUUAAUCAAGAGCAAAAGUUGCGGGCUCGAAGACGAUUAGAUUAGAUACCGUCCUAGUCUCAACCAUAAAGAAACUAAAUGAGAUUAAAGAAGCGAAUCUGUUAUAAAAAUAAAAAUAAAAAUGAUCACGUACAUAAGUUUACAUAAACGGUUAUACAUGGUAUGUAAAACAUCAAUUAUUAUUAUCAUUCAUUCACCCAAUCAUGCAAUGAAUAUAGUGUAUGCUUUAUUUAUAUUUUAUUUUUACAACUAAUAAUAUGUUGGCCUUCUCCCUGACCCAUACCCUUUCCCUUUAUUUUUUUCUUUCAUUUUAUUUUCCUUCAAAAGAUUCUAUAUCCAUGGAAUGGGAUUUUGGCCCAUUGCUAUUGCCCUCCACCCAUACCAUUUUCCUUUCUAUUACCAUUGCCCUUGACUUUGCUAUCCUUUUAAUUAUUCCGCUUUGCUUCCCUUGCCGCUUUCUUUGUCAAAGCUUUUUCCUUCUGCUUUGCUUCCUUUGCCAAAGGUCUUUCCUUCUGCUUUGCUUCCUUUGCCAAAGCUAUUUCCUUCAGUUUUGCUUCCUUUUCCUUCUGCUUUGCUUCCUUUGCCAAAGCUAUUUCCUUCUGCUUUGCUUCCUUAUGAUGCUGCGAUUGUUGAGGCUCUAGAGUCCAUGGCAGGAGUUACAGUGCAGGCUCUCCAAACUUUGGUGGAAUCUCAAGCUACUGCACAAGCCUCUGCUCAAGCUGCUACCCAAGCUGCACAGAUUGUUGCUCAAGCUGUUGCUCAAGCUACAAGCUAUAG